ensembl:lncRNA
AGAACCUGAACCCUGAAAACACGCUGCAAGAAACACGAGCAGCUCAUUCAGGUUCUAGAAUUCUCUUGGACAAAGCAUUUGAAGCUGCCUGAGCUGAAGGAAGCAACAAGAAAAAUUAACCUCGUUAACAACUACAUCUACAGAGAUACAGAGAUCCCAGAAUAUCCUCGACCUCAGUUUCAGGUCAGUUUUCUGAAACAUGAUACAACAGUAGAAGGCUUGAAAGGAAUCCGGCAGGAUGGAGGCUUUAGAGAUCCACAUGGAGGAUCUCUGGUUUGGUGGAGUCUGUCUGUGAGAGAUGAAGAUGUGGGAGCUGCAGAGAGGAAGAUGAUGGAGGAGGAGUACCGCGGUAUGAACGGGCAGAUCAACCUGAAGAGGUUCGCCACCUCCCCAGCCUUUUCUCCAAAAUCCCGGUUGGGCCACUUCCGCUUCACCUUCCCCCUGGAGGAGGUGCUAAAGGCAUACAGUCAGCAGUUCUGCAGUGGUGGUCAGCCCGUCAUGCGGGUCUAUGAGACGGUCCUUUACAAACAGGAAAUAGUGUAUGCGGUGUUGGUCCACAGUCCAGAUGAUCAGAAGAACUUCUCACAGUAUCCUUUAUUGACUGAAGACCCGAAUGCCGUCUGCUUCUUCAGAGAGGGCAGGUUCUUCUGGAGGUCAGAGGCCAUGUGUGAGACACACCGGUUUGGUCUCUUCCAAACCAACAACAGUUUAGAGGUUAAAGGGACCUCUCACUACCAUUAUUAUGUCUGGGACAAUGUCGCCAUCGCGUUUCAUGUUAGGAAAAAGGUGCUGAAGUUUGAUGUGGAUCAGCUCAGACAGAACCUGAAGGACUGUGAGCUAGACUCUGUGACGUACAACUUCACUGACAAGCUGACUGCUGAACAAGCUAAAAAACUGAUCAGAGACUUGUGGCCAGAGUCCCCGGUGGAGAAUCUGCCCCGUCACACUGGAGACGGUGAAGCUCCUCCUCUUCAGCCUCCUUCAUAAAAUCCUCCUGUAGCUCCGCCCACCUGCGGCGUCUCCUGAUCUUAUAUUUACUGUUAUCUUUGCUCUGAUUUGCUUGCUGUAACCCCCCCCCCAUCCCCACCAAUCACAGACGUGUGUGAAGUUGUUGAUUAUGCUGAUGAUUUUCUAUUAUUAGGAUCAAUAAUAAUCCUGAUGGAUUUUAUGUUGGAUGAUUUCUGAUCAUGUCUGUGUGAUCUCAUGAUGUUUUAUAUGAUUAUUCCUAAAGAUAAAUAUUUGAUGUUAUUGCUUUUACUGGAUUUUGGAAUCAUUAACUGGAGUUCAAUAUUUUAAUGAUUUAUUUUAACGAUUGUGAUGAAUAUAGAAGAUUUUAUUCAAAUCAAAAGGGCAAGUGUGAUGUUACUUUAUUCUCUUAAUCUUUUGGGUAAAUGUUUACUUUCUCAUUGAGGUGAAGGUUUUGUGUUCUCUGUUGUAGAAAACAAAAUUUAAACAAGUCUUUGUGGUCUUCACUAGUCCUGCAGUUGUGGUGGAUUGACUGAAGGACGAUUUUCUCAAAGAUUUUCUUUUUGAAAAUCACUGAGAAUCAAAGAGGAGUGCAGAGCCUUCAUUCUACCUUCAUGUAUCAUUGAAUGAAUUGACUUCAUGCAUGAAUAGAAAUAAAACCUUUUCUCUGAAGAGUUCAAUUCAGUUUUAUUUAUUUAGCCCAAUAUCACAAAAGAAUUACCCCAUUGGGCUUCAUACCGGUAAUUUAACAGAAGCAGAAGGUUGGUCAUAAAAUAGAAACAAAAGCUAAUUGCUAAACUAAACAUACUAAAUAAAACUGGUUAUCCCUGUCCUUAGAUCCUCCCUCCUGGUAAGGAAAUAUUCUUAAAAAAAAACUUCUGCUAGUUCCUGCCAACUAUAUUGCUGCUGCAUUCUGAACAAGUUGAAAACUUUUUAAAGAACUUUUUGGGCAGGCUAUUAGUAAAGAGUUACAGUAAUCCAGUCUAGACGCAACAAAUGCAUGGAUGAGUUUUUCAGCAUCACUAUUAGAUAACAUAUUUCUGAUCCGAGCUAUAUUGCGAAGGUGAAAGAAUGCAGUUCUACAAGCUUGUGAUAUGUGAGCCUUAAAUGAUAAAUCCUGGUCAAAUAAAACCCCCAAGUUUCUAACUGUAGAAUUGGAGGAAAUAUUUACAUCAUCCAAGGAGACUAUCUGAUCCGAGAGAGCAUCUCUCAGGUGUUUAGGGCCCAGUAGGUUUCUCUAGGUGGUCAUUCUGGUCUGGUUUAAUGGAUAAAUACAGCUGCAUAUCAUCUGCAUAACAGUGGAAAUUAAUGCUAUGUGUGAAAA